AACUCAUGGUGAGGGCAGCAUCUCAAUAAGUCCUUGUAGCUCUCCCAUGCAUCAUAUAGUGUCUUUAAAUUGAUUUGAACAAAAGAAGAGAUAUCAUUCCUCAACUU
rfam:Gossypium raimondii Chr11_contig_340, whole genome shotgun sequence.